rnacentral:rRNA from 1 species
GAUGAACGCUGGCGGCGUGCCUAAUACAUGCAAGUCGAGCGAACAGACGAGGAACUUGCUCCUCUGACGUUAGCGGCGGACGGGUGAGUAACACGUGGAUAACCUACCUAUAAGACUGGGAUAACUUCGGGAAACCGGAGCUAAUACCGGAUAACAUGUUGAACCGCAUGGUUCAACAGUGAAAGACGGUCUUGCUGUCACUUAUAGAUGGAUCCGCGCCGCAUUAGCUAGUUGGUAAGGUAACGGCUUACCAAGGCAACGAUGCGUAGCCGACCUGAGAGGGUGAUCGGCCACACUGGAACUGAGACACGGUCCAGACUCCUACGGGAGGCAGCAGUAGGGAAUCUUCCGCAAUGGGCGAAAGCCUGACGGAGCAACGCCGCGUGAGUGAAGAAGGUCUUCGGAUCGUAAAACUCUGUUAUUAGGGAAGAACAAAUGUGUAAGUAACUAUGCACGUCUUGACGGUACCUAAUCAGAAAGCCACGGCUAACUACGUG